GUAGGGAACACCUCCCCCAGCCUCGCACCCCUGCUUUGAAGUUUCUGCUCUGUGCCUCUUAUCUUCUGGUUCCCAAUUCCAGUUCCCUGGAGAUGAAAUUGCCCUUAACAUGGAACAUCACUUCCUGGAUUCUACUGUAUCACCCUGCAGAGGUAUCCAGUUGAUAUCUUUAGCCUCUUUCCAAGAUAUAGCGACUUUGACUGAGUGGUGGCUGUAGGAAGAGAUGAGUCAAUGGUAAGUGUGGGGAUCUCUAUGAAAAGACUUUCUUAAAAGUUUAAGGACAAGUUAGGCACUCCCAGGCUUCCCAGGAGGGGGCAAUGAAAAUAGAAAGCAACUUGUGUGACCCAUCUAUUCCGCCUGAGAAGGAUGGUGCCUUUUAAUUAAACAAAUUACCAAAAAUGCUUAAAGGUUAAAUGGAAGGUGUCUGAGCAAGAUAUGGACCUUAUCAGCAUGGUGCAUGGAGAAGUUCCUCUAUGGCAGCAUGUUGUGUGAACUUAGAUUGCAUAGACGUGGAGAGUAAAGAUUGCUCUAGGGACCUUGGUAAUAGAGAGAGACGAUAAUAAUCUAGCAAGAGAAAUAGAAGGAAAGCAAGAAUUAUCAAAAGUGCAUACAAUAGGAUGGAGAUGGGCGAAAAGAUGACUGAGGCUAGAAUCUGGAGCUGAAUCCCUGAGAAACGUGUGCAUUAUUUAUACACUAAGGAAGUCAGAAAGAAUGUCCGGUUUAAUAGAGAAGAUGAUGAAUUUUAGCUAUUCUCUUUUGAUUUAUUUAUUUGAACUUCAGCACUUAAUAUAUUUAAACAUAUCUGUGUACUUGUAAGCCACAUUUUCCA
rnacentral:lncRNA from 1 species